CAGAUAAGCGUUUCAGGAUCCACCCCUGCAGAGAAGCUUGGACUAAUUGCCUUCCCAGAGACUCUUCCUCCUGCAGAUUGAGAGGGCAGCUGCUGCUGGCUGCGGGCUCAAAAGCAGCCACGAUGCUGUAACUCCAAGCAACAGGAAGGGUCAGGAAGCAGAGGGGAAGUGCCCUGGCAGCAGCUUGAGUCCCCAUCCUGUACCAAGCCUUUGGCUACUCAGAAGUGACUCACAACUCUCCUGUGCUGUAUCAAAGUGCUCUACAAGGAACUGAAUGUUGUGCCAUAAGCAUUUUUUUUCUCAUUACCAUUGUGCGUGCAUGUCUAAGGGUUGUGUGUGCGU
rnacentral:lncRNA from 1 species